rnacentral:rRNA from 1 species
AGAAUCAACGCCGGCGGCGUGCCUAACACAUGCAAGUCGAACGAGAAAGUGGAGCAAUCCAUGAGUAAAGUGGCGCACGGGUGAGUAACACGUGACUAACCUACCCUUGAGUGGGGAAUAACCUAGGGAAACCUGGGCUAAUACCGCAUAACACCUACGGGUCAAAGGAGCAAUUCGCUUAAGGAGGGGUCGCGGCAGAUUAGCUAGUUGGCGGGGUAAUGGCCCACCAAGGCAGUGAUCUGUA